GAGUGUCUGGGUGAGGGGAAUGAAGUCCAGAGCUCAGCUGUUAUGAGUCUCAUAGGAAGCCUUCUAGUUUAUGCAUUGUUGUGCCUGCCUAGCUUCUGCAGGAACUUACUGUCCUUCACAGGAACUUAGAUUUGGGGACUUAAACAUCAUGCUUGAUCUGAGGUUGGGGUUGAUGUUAGAAGGGGAAACUAGAAAUAUUAAAAGACCUCCUGGGAAGACUCAGAUUGUGACUUGUAUCUCUUAUUAUUGACCCCCUAUUUUCCAUCAUUUUCAAUAUGAAAAGAAGAUGAUCUUUUACAAACCUGGGCAUCCACCAUCUUCACUAGUGGGACUCAUCAAUGCUUCAUGGGUGCCUGAUCUCAGGUUUUUUUUUUUUUUUGACAGGCAGAGUGGACAGUGAGAGAGACAGACAGAGAGAAAGGUCUUCCUUUGCCGUCGGUUCACCCUCCAAUGGCCACCACAGCUGGCGCGCUGCAGCCGGCGCACCCGCUGAUCCAAUGGCAGGAGCCAGGUACUUAUCCUGGUCUCCCAUGGGGUGCAGGGCCCAAGCACUUGGGCCAUCCUCCACUGCACUCCCGGGCCACAGCAGAGAGCUGGCCUGGAAGAGGGGCAACCGGGACAGAAUCCGGCGCCCCGACUGGGACUAGAACCCUGUGUGCUGGCGCCGCUAGGCAAGGAUUAGCCUAGUGAGCCGCGGCGCCGGCCUGACCUCAUGGUUCUUUGGCAAGCAGAGAUGAGUGGAAAAGUUUCAAGCUUGCCUUCCCAGUGUUGGGUAUGAUUCAGAAAGCUUCUCUGGAGAGAAAGCUUUUGCAUUCUCUUAGAUUCUUGUUUUAAUUGUAUUAGAAUUAACUGUUUAAAGCUGGAAAAUACAAUUAGUUAUAUUUCAUUUCAAUCACAAUGGCUCAAAUCUACUUUUGUGAUUCUUGGCCCUCAGGUGGACCAGUCUUUCCCAUUCUUGGCUGCUCAUUAGAAUCAUCUUUGCAGCCCCAGGCCCUGGUAUGUUGACUCGUUCUAUCUGUGAUAGAGUCUGGGGACCCGAGUAUUUACAAAAUAUCAUGGAGGACUCUGGUGUGCAGCCAGGAUUGAGGACCAUGAAGUUGGACAAUGGAGGAGUGAUGUGCAUGAGUUGCUACUGUCUUACAAUCCUAUUUUUAGCCCCCCAUGGGAUAAUUUUUAUUUAACAAGAUGAGAAGACAAGCCACAUUUAAGGCAGCACUUAGCUAGGGAAUGAUGUUGGGUGUCUAGAAUCUAGGGUUAAAAUAGACAGCUGAUUCAGGCAUCAUUUCUUAUCUCAAAACAGCAUGAUCUUGGGCAAGUCACUGUCCUCCCUAGGACUCAACUAACCCACCCAUAACAUCAGAGGGUUGGCUGAAACACUUUCUGUGGGCUUGCAGUGUUGAUGUUCAUCAUUGCUAAAUCUCCACUGGGAAGACAUUUCAUUGUUUUGUAGGGAAAGUCAAGGACUCUCCUCCUACCCCAAAGGAAAACACAGCCGAUGACAACAGGAGAGAGAAGGUGUCUGGGGAAAGAGAAGAGUCUGGCUGCAGACUUAGUUCAGGGGUGGCUACAGAGUUGAUAGGAGGCUGUCAGAUUUGUACUCAUUGCCUUUCAGUGGGCCUCAAAUGUCAUCAUGGGCACUUGGAUCUUACCAAGAGGUGGCUUGGAAUUCCAGAUGUGGGCUGGGUGACAGCUGGCUUUGAAGAAAGAGGUCCUCUCUCCUUAAAAGCACUACUGCACUUGUGAGCCCUUAGAGCACAGAGACCCGAGAACUAAAGUUUAUGCUUUGUAAACUUUUAUGGCGUGAUAAAUAUGAAUUACUAUUACAGCUAUCAUUAAAUCCCCACAAGGUAAUGAUAACAGGUUUAUGUUUCAAUCCCAGCUCAGCCACCAAUAGGCCAUGUGACCUCAGGCAAUCUCUGCUCCCUCUCAGAGAUCUGCUUGUUUCGUGUGGACCUGCAUGAUCAGCUGAAGACCCUUCCUGCCUUGAUUCCAUAAGUGUGACCCCACGUGGAAAUUAAUGGUUAAUGAUCAGUAAUCGGAGGCUCACCUUGCAAAAUGAAGAAGGCCAGCUGGAAAGUGACAUAAUGAGAAGAGGAAAAGAAAAAUCUCUUUCAAGAGGCUGCUAUUUUGCAGUCUGUGAUAUUCCACGCAUAUUCUGAUGACAGGGAAGCACAGUGGAUGUGCGGAGAGAUGAGCAGCAAGUGAUCCUGCUGGAACUAACUGACUGGUGAGAUAUGGUAUAAGUCCUGGGAGAAGCUUCACCCAUCAUUCUCAUCCAGGGACCAACAAGGGAGAUGAGAGUUAAGUUGUCUCUGUUUACCUCCAUCUUCAACCAGGAGCAUUAAUGUAUUGGCCUGGCUAGGGUAACUGCCUUUGGAAUCAUGGACCCAACAUCCAUUCACCCACGAACUUGAAUCCAGACCUGGAGCUGUCCUGCUAUCUGGUUUUCAGCCCCUGUUGCCCAGAGACAGCGACAGGGGACCUGUCCAUAAGCAGGAACGUGUGCCCUCCCUAGACACUGAAUCUGGGGGCAGCUUCACCUUGGACUUGUAAGCAUCCAGAAAUGCAGUACGUAAAAGUCCUUUGUUUCAGCCACCCAGCCUAGUGAAACUUGUUGUAACAGCCCAAACCCAGCCAGCCAUGGAGCCUGGGAUUUGCUCAUACCUGAAAU